GAUGAACGCUGGCGGCGUGCCUAAUACAUGCAAGUCGAGCGAACGGACGAGAAGCUUGCUUCUCUGAUGUUAGCGGCGGACGGGUGAGUAACACGUGGAUAACCUACCUAUAAGACUGGGAUAACUUCGGGAAACCGGAGCUAAUACCGGAUAAUAUUUUGAACCGCAUGGUUCAAAAGUGAAGGACGGUCUUGCUGUCACUUAUAGAUGGAUCCGCGCUGCAUUAGCUAGUUGGUAAGGUAACGGCUUACCAAGGCAACGAUGCAUAGCCGACCUGAGAGGGUGAUCGGCCACACUGGAACUGAGACACGGUCCAGACUCCUACGGGAGGCAGCAGUAGGGAAUCUUCCGCAAUGGGCGAAAGCCUGACGGAGCAACGCCGCGUGAGUGAUGAAGGUCUUCGGAUCGUAAAACUCUGUUAUUAGGGAAGAACAUAUGUGUAAGUAACUGUGCACAUCUUGACGGUACCUAAUCAGAAAGCCACGGCUAACUACGUGCCAGCAGCCGCGGUAAUACGUAGGUGGCAAGCGUUAUCCGGAAUUAUUGGGCGUAAAGCGCGCGUAGGCGGUUUUUUAAGUCUGAUGUGAAAGCCCACGGCCCAACCGUGGAGGGUCAUUGGAAACUGGAAAACUUGAGUGCAGAAGAGGAAAGUGGAAUUCCAUGUGUAGCGGCGAAAUGCGCAGAGAUAUGGAGGAACACCAGUGGCGAAGGCGACUUUCUGGUCUGUAACUGACGCUGAUGUGCGAAAGCGUGGGGAUCAAACAGGAUUAGAUACCCUGGUAGUCCACGCCGUAAACGAUGAGUGCUAAGUGUUAGGGGGUUUCCGCCCCUUAGUGCUGCAGCUAACGCAUUAAGCACUCCGCCUGGGGAGUACGACCGCAAGGUUGAAACUCAAAGGAAUUGACGGGGGCCCGUACAAGCGGUGGAGCAUGUGGUUUAAUUCGAAGCAACGCGAAGAACCUUACCAAAUCUUGACAUCCUUUGACAACUCUAGAGAUAGAGCCUUCCCCUUCGGGGGACAAAGUGACAGGUGGUGCAUGGUUGUCGUCAGCUCGUGUCGUGAGAUGUUGGGUUAAGUCCCGCAACGAGCGCAACCCUUAAGCUUAGUUGCCAUCAUUAAGUUGGGCACUCUAAGUUGACUGCCGGUGACAAACCGGAGGGAGGUGGGGGUGACGUCAAAUCAUCAUGCCCCUUAUGAUUUGGGCUACACACGUGCUACAAUGGACAAUACAAAGGGCAGCGAAACCGCGAGGUCAAGCAAAUCCCAUAAAGUUGUUCUCAGUUCGGAUUGUAGUCUGCAACUCGACUACAUGAAGCUGGAAUCGCUAGUAAUCGUAGAUCAGCAUGCUACGGUGAAUACGUUCCCGGGUCU
rnacentral:rRNA from 1 species